UACGUAGGGGGCUAGCGUUGUCCGGAAUCAUUGGGCGUAAAGAGCGUGUAGGCGGCCCGGUAAGUCCGCUGUAAAAGUCAAAGGCUCAACCUUUGAAUGUCAGUGGAUACUGCCGGGCUAGAGUCCGGAAGAGGCGAGUGGAACUCCUGGUGUAGCGGUGGAAUGCGUAGAUAUCAGGAGGAACACCGGUGGCGAAGGCGCACAUCUGGCCCGAUACUGACGCUGAGGCGCGAAAGCUAGGGGAGCAAACGGG
rnacentral:rRNA from 1 species